rnacentral:rRNA from 1 species
GGCUUGGUGUCCCUGGCCCGCCACGGUUACGUGUGUGAGUGCCGGUGGACAUCGGCCAUCACUUCUAGGUUGCAUUCAUGCUCUUCACUGAGCCGUGAAUGUGUAUCUAGAUCUUUUACUUUGAAAAAAUUAGAGUGUUUCAAGCAGGCGUUUGCUAUGAAUACAUUAGCAUGGAAUAAUAAUUUAGGACUUCGGUUCUAUUUUGUUGGUUUCUAGAACGGAAGUA